GACGAACGCUGGCGGCGUGCUUAACACAUGCAAGUCGAACGGAAAGGCCCUGCUUUUGUGGGGUGCUCGAGUGGCGAACGGGUGAGUAACACGUGAGUAACCCGCCCUUGACUUUGGGAUAACUUCAGGAAACUGGGGCUAAUACCGGAUAGGAGCUCCUGCUGCAUGGUGGGGGUUGGAAAGUUUCGGCGGUUGGGGAUGGACUCGCGGCUUAUCAGCUUGUUGGUGGGGUAGUGGCUUACCAAGGCUUUGACGGGUAGCCGGCCUGAGAGGGUGACCGGCCACAUUGGGACUGAGAUACGGCCCAGACUCCUACGGGAGGCAGCAGUGGGGAAUAUUGCACAAUGGGCGGAAGCCUGAUGCAGCAACGCCGCGUGCGGGAUGACGGCAUUCGGGUUGUAAACCGCUUUCGCCUGUGACGAAGCGUGAGUGACGGUAAUGGGUAAAGAAGCACCGGCUAACUACGUG
rnacentral:rRNA from 1 species